ensembl:snoRNA SNORD58 Small nucleolar RNA SNORD58
CUGCGGUGAUGCCUUUCUUAGGACACCUUUGGAUUUAACUGUGAAAAGAAAAACCAAUUUCUGAGCAGC